UUAACGRCKGGGCGGCAGGCCUAACACAUGCAAGUCGAGCGGCAGCGGGAAGAUAGYUURCUAUCUUUGCCSGCGAGCGGCGGACGGGUGAGUAAUGCCUAGGGAUCUGCCCAGUCGAGGGGGAUAACAGUUGGAAACGACUGCUAAUACCGCAUACGCCCUACGGGGGAAAGGAGGGGACCUUCGGGCCUUCCGCGAUUGGAUGAACCUAGGUGGGAUUAGCUAGUUGGUGAGGUAAUGGCUCACCAAGGCGACGAUCCCUAGCUGUUCUGAGAGGAUGAUCAGCCACACUGGGACUGAGACACGGCCCAGACUCCUACGGGAGGCAGCAGUGGGGAAUAUUGCACAWKGGGGGAAACCCUGAUGCAGCCAUGCCGCGUGUGUGAAGAAGGCCUUCGGGUUGUAAAGCACUUUCAGUAGGGAGGAAAGGUARYAGCUUAAUACGCUGUUGCUGUGACGUUACCUACAGYRGAAGGACCGGCUAACUCCGUGCCAGCAGCCGCGGUAAUACGGAGGGUCCGAGCGUUAAUCGGAAUUACUGGGCGUAAAGCGUGCGCAGGCGGUUUGUUAAGCGAGAUGUGAAAGCCCCGGGCUCAACCUGGGAAUUGCAUUUCGAACUGGCGAACUAGAGUCUUGUAGAGGGGGGUAGAAUUCCAGGUGUAKMSGGUGAAAUGCGUAGAGAUCUGGAGGAAUACCGGGUGGCG
rnacentral:rRNA from 1 species